GACGAACGCUGGCGGCGUGCUUAACACAUGCAAGUCGAGCGGUAAGGCCUUUCGGGGUACACGAGCGGCGAACGGGUGAGUAACACGUGGGUGAUCUGCCCUGCACUCUGGGAUAAGCCUGGGAAACUGGGUCUAAUACCGGAUAUGACUACAUGCUGCAUGGUGUGUGGUGGAAAGAUUUAUCGGUGCAGGAUGGGCCCGCGGCCUAUCAGCUUGUUGGUGGGGUAAUGGCCUACCAAGGCGACGACGGGUAGCCGACCUGAGAGGGUGACCGGCCACACUGGGACUGAGACACGGCCCAGACUCCACGGGAGGCAGCAGUGGGGAAUAUUGCACAAUGGGCGGAAGCCUGAUGCAGCGACGCCGCGUGAGGGAUGAAGGCCUUCGGGUUGUAAACCUCUUUCAGCAGGGACGAAGCGUGAGUGACGGUACCUGCAGAAGAAGCACCGGCUAACUACGUGCCAGCCGCCGCGGUAA
rnacentral:rRNA from 1 species